GGGGGUCCGAGCGGCGGCCGGGCUGUGAGGAAGGAAGCGCGCGGGUGAGCCAGGGCGCCCGGCCUGGCUGCGGGGGUCGCGGCGCGGCGGAGAAAGGAGGCGGCUCCCGGCGGCCCGACCCCCCUCCGUGUCCCCCUGCGCGACUCCCCCGGGGGCGCCCGCGGAGCCCAGCCCGGCGCGGGGCCGAGAGCCAGAAAGAAUUUACAAGAGAAAAUAAUAUAAGGAAAGGAGCAACAAGCAGAUCAAGAUGUGUAGUUCUGUGGCUGCCAAGUUAUGGUUUUUGACAGAUCGUCGAAUCAGGGAAGACUAUCCCCAAAAAGAAAUAUUACGAGCAUUAAAGGCCAAAUGUUGUGAAGAGGAAUUGGACUUCAGAGCUGUAGUGAUGGAUGAGUUGGUGCUGACAAUUGAGCAAGGAAACUUGGGUUUACGGAUCAAUGGAGAAGUAAUUACUGCCUACCCCCAGGUGGUGGUAGUGAGAGUACCAACCCCCUGGGUGCAAAGUGAUAGUGACAUUACUGUUUUGCGUCACCUAGAGAAGAUGGGUUGCCGGCUGAUGAACCGACCUCAAGCCAUCUUGAACUGUGUUAAUAAAUUUUGGACCUUUCAAGAGUUAGCUGGCCAUGGUGUUCCUUUGCCAGAUACUUUCUCUUAUGGUGGUCAUGAAAAUUUUGCUAAAAUGAUUGAUGAAGCAGAAGUGUUGGAGUUCCCAAUGGUGGUGAAGAAUACACGAGGUCAUAGAGGCAAAGCUGUAUUUUUGGCUCGAGAUAAGCACCACUUGGCUGACCUAACCCAUCUUAUUCGCCAUGAAGCUCCAUACCUGUUCCAGAAGUAUGUUAAAGAGUCUCAUGGACGUGAUGUUCGAGUCAUUGUUGUGGGAGGCCGUGUGGUUGGCACCAUGUUACGUUGUUCAACUGAUGGGAGGAUGCAAAGCAACUGCUCUCUAGGUGGCGUGGGGAUGAUGUGCUCCUUGAGUGAACAAGGGAAGCAACUAGCUAUCCAAGUGUCUAAUAUUCUGGGGAUGGAUGUGUGUGGCAUAGAUCUACUGAUGAAAGAUGACGGCUCCUUCUGUGUCUGCGAGGCAAAUGCAAAUGUAGGUUUCAUCGCCUUUGAUAAGGCUUGUAAUCUAGAUGUAGCAGGUAUCAUAGCGGACUAUGCCGCCUCCCUUCUGCCCUCUGGCCGGCUCACCCGGCGUAUGUCCCUGCUCUCCGUGGUGUCCACAGCCAGUGAGACUAGCGAGCCGGAGCUGGGUCCCCCAGCCAGCACUGCUGUCGACAACAUGAGCGCAAGUUCCAGCUCUGUUGACAGCGACCCUGAAAGCACCGAGCGAGAGCUGCUCACCAAGCUACCAGGGGGCCUAUUCAACAUGAACCAACUGAUAGCCAAUGAAAUCAAACUCCUGGUGGAGUGACUCCACUGGCAAAUCAUUAACCAACAAAGCCCUUGUAAAACUUUUUUCUUCUUUUUUGUUUUUCUUCUUUUUUGUUUUUUUUUUAACCAACUUGCAAUGCUGUUCAUGGAAGAUGCUCAGGAAGAUGAGAGAAAAUUGAGUAGAAUUAGAAGUGGGGAAAUAGAAAAGAUCUGUGCUGUUAAGAUAUUGCUGAAUUUCAUUUACAGAGAGACAGAAGAGACAAGAUGUCAAACUCUUAAUUUAUUUAAAGAUUUGUUUGUUCUCAUGUCAUGAAGAACAUAGAGCUUUUUUAUUUUCUCUUGCUUGUUACUUUAUUUUCUUAAAAAGUUAGUUCAGAAUAGCAGACUUCACAUUGUGUUGCAAACAUCUACCUAACUUAAGAAAUACACACACACACAACACACACACACACACACACCUGAAAAUUCUGCUAGUAUCAUUUCUAGGAGCUUUGUGUUCAUAGUGUAUAACAUCUCAAGGAUCUCUUUCGCUGGGAUUUUUUUCCUCUUUUUUUGGUUUUUUUCUUCCCUUCAUAUGGGUGGGAGUGCAAUGUGAAGAUGACCCAAUAAAGGCUUUUUAAUGACAAAAUUGGCAUGUUUGCAUAAUAAAAAGAGAAAUGAACAGUAUUGCAAUAUCUGGUACACAAAGUAACAUUUAUUCCAAUGUAGAUAAAAUUAUACUAAUUUAAAAUAUGUACAUUGACUUGUGUUUGUGUUUUAGUCUUUUUUUUUUAAGAAGAUAAAUGCUCUGUUGAUGUUGCAUUUUUUAAAAUACAUGCUAGUUUUAACAUUCCCUGAUCUAUGCCUGCAUCUUUAAACAAAAGUGAAGAAAUGCUACCUUUUUGUUAACAAGACACUGACUUGGAACAUGCAGUUUAAAACCUCCCCCCACACACACCCUUUUGGUGACUAAGCAUUUAAAGAAUAAGGACAAGGAAAAUUAUGGGGGGUGGGGGACCUCUUAAGGGCCUAUAAGUUCUUAAGUAUAAAGCUGAAAUGAUUUCUUAACACCAGUGUUACAUAUUUGCAUUUUUCACAUUUAUGGGGGAUAUAUGUGUGUGUGUAUGUGUGUGUGUGUGUGUGUGUUUGUGCACGCAUGCAUGUAUAUAUGUUUUAGUUUUUGUUUACAUAACCCAAUCAUAAAUGGAUAGAGCUAGGAAAUGGAGCAUGAUGGGAAACAGUUGCUAGUUGCUUUUAUGACUCCACUGGGGUACUCACAUGAAAGAAUAGAUAUUCUUGGGCCUUUUUGUGUGUACAUAUUAUAUAUAUAUAUUUUUCCUUUGGUUUAGACCAUUCAGUAUAUUCAUUUAUUUAUUCAAAUUUAUUCAGAGCUCCAUACUUUAAUUCAGUGCUUUGGUCAUGUUAUUUUUCUCCUAUUACUAUUAUUACAUUAUUUCCUUUUAUUAUUUUUUCUUAUAUAUAGGCUUUUGGGGUGGGGUAGGGUGGACUGGACAUUUUUAUUUGGGGGACAUAUUUAGCAUUAUAGAAUCUCUUUCAGCCCUAAUUUGAAGCCUUCAGUGUCUUCUAUUCUUUAUACUCCUUUACUUUCUGAAUUCUGUAUAUGACAUGAAUUUUUAAAGGAUGCAUAAAACAAAUCCUAUUGAUGGUUUGGAAGGUGUGUUAAGAAAUGGAGAUGCUGCAGAGCUCAACGUAAUUUUUUAAACAAGUUCCAUCUCCCUGCAAUUCUCUGAAGCUUCUAUUUGAAUCCUUUCUUGCCUCUUCAGUACUUUUUUUUCCCCUUCAGAUGGACCUUAAAUAUGUUUUCUUGGACACUACUAGAGAGACUUCAAUGCAAUAACAAAAGAUCAGUAUUAACCAGCUUUAACAGAGGUUUGAUCAUGCUUACUUGUAUAGUUUUCCCCCCAUUUUUUAAAAAGGAAUGUAAUAAAAUUUGUUUUUCCAUAGAAUUAAAUAAUAUUAAAGUUGAGUUAAAGGUUGAUUAUUGACAAAUAGAAUAGUAUCUCUAAUCUGUUCAGUGUCUCAUUUCACUUAGAAGAAGCUACAUAAGAGGAGUUCCUAACUUCUUUUAACAUAUAUAAAUCUCAUCUAAAAGAUUUGACUUGCCACAUUGUCUUUUUGCAACUCAUACACAUAUAAGUACCUCUGAUUCAUUAACAGAAAUUCUUGGUACUUCUUUUACUGAAUGACCAUGCUUUGGAGGAUGUAUUCUAUACAGAGGGAUAAAUGAGGAAGAAAGAAUUGCUUAAACCCAUCAUUCAUAUGUUUGAGACCAGCUGGUUGCCACACAAAUUAUGAUACAUACACAUUGAAUAAUUACUUACCACAUGUAUAUAGAUUAGAAUUUUAAAAACUCAAAUAGAUUGUUCUCUCUAAUGAAAAAUUCAAGGUUCUGUUAGGCGGAUAAGACACCAGGAAAAAAACAUAGUUUUUAUUAUUUUUUUUAAAACCAUACCAAGUUAAACAUUGUACUGUAAGAAACAUCUGAAACUAUUUACCUUUAGGUUACUCUAUAUCUAUUCAUCUUAUGUUCAUUUACACUUUAUUAAAGCAUACCAACCAAUAUUCAUCAACCAAUAUUUUAGAAUUAAAAGGACAGGAAUAGUUUAGACUUUAAAAACAUGAGUAUCUUCUUAAAUUCCCUCAAAAAUGAAGGUGAAGACAAAUUAUUCCUGGAAUAAACCAAAUAAAACAGCUCUCAUAUUUAAAUGAAAGUUAAAUAUUUUCAUAUUGUUUAACAACAUUUGUAUAAUCUAAUAUGGAAGGUUAAAAAUGUUUUUAUCAAAUGUAUAACAAUUACAUGCCAGUAUUCAAUCAUUGUAAAUUUGCUGUUUAUUGUUAAAAUUGUAAUUCUGAAUUGUAUAUUUUAAAAGUAAUUCUUUCUGAUAUUGUUUUUAUGUCACUCAUGAUGAAAACUGGACUAUACAGAGCAUGCACACAUACACAUACAGACACACAUGAACAAUUUCAUUUAAAAUUUUUAAGUUUUCACUUUUUUGGUGUCUAUCUUUGGUUAUUUAUGCUGGCUUUUACUCCAAUGAACUUUGAAAUAUUUGUGUAUAUGCUAUCAGUAAGAAAAUUCCUUGGAACAUUAGAAAAACAUCAAGAGACUUGCUUUCAUCAGGUACUUUAUCAGACUUUUAAGAAGGCAUCCAAAGCAUUGAAAGAAGUCAUUGACUUUUAAAACCAACUCUUCUUUUUCUCAAGAUGAAAACAAGAAGAACACAGUGAAAAAAUAAAUUCUCUUCAUUCAGUGAAUUCCCAGUUUGGGGCCUGGGGAUCUUAGAGACAUUGUGAAAUCAAAUCUUGUGUUACAUUUUUCUCCUGGCUCACUCUUUUUGAGAAGGUUUUUGGGCUAUAUGGCUGGUGAGACACGAUCCCCUCCUAAGAAAAUGUAGGUGCUCAGACAGCCUUUUCAGGAGCCAAAAAAAACCAAAACAAACAAACAAAAAAUUACCCAGAGAAAAAAACUUUCCUUCUUCCCCCUUCCUGAUGAUGAGUGAGAAGUAUUGACAACUUUCGGGGUCAGUGCCCUUCUAAACUCCCCUUCCCCCAAUAAUGCAGCUGUAUAAUGAAUGGUAAAUGCAGCGAUUUGGACUCAGACACAACCCCAGUCUGUUUGCAGGUGGCGUAUGUGUUCGUGUUUUAAUGUAUUCAGAGCCAUUGGGCAAUAAGCAGUCCAGAAAAUUGAAAACUCAAGCAGCAGAGAAAUAAACUGGUAGGUGGUAGCAGAAGAAGGAAUUCUUCAGAUUGAUGACUACUAAAAAAAUGCAUAGAAGAAGAAAGAGCAUGACUAAGUACAGCAAAGGGGGGAAAAUGGACAAAAAGAGUGUAAAUGACCAGUCCUCAGCUCUGGCUUGCUCAUAAUGGUCCAGGGGACUGAACCUGAAAGAGAGAGAAGGGACCCACAACAAUCCAGGUUCGAGCCCCCAGCCCACACUUUGAGGGGAGAAGCUUCAUAAGUAGUAAAGCAGUGCUACAGGACAGAGAAAUUAAAGGGGGAGGAGAUGGAAAAGGAGAAAGAAAGAGGUACCUGCAACACUGCUUCAUCGCUUAUAUAAUUUCCCCUUUGCAGAUUUUCCUGAGAUGACCAGUGUUCCUUUCGCUUAUUACUUCACAAGGUGGAUGAAGAUAGAUUUGACUAAUUGUUUUUUUUUUUUCAAAUGGAAGACAAUAGUACACAGACUAGGGAAGCAAUAGUUGUAACCUAUUGUGAUUUCAAUUUUUUCUCUAAAUAAAAAAUAUCAGAACUGGAGAUGAAAUAG